UUAUAAUUUUCCCCCAUUUUGAACCCCAAACCUAAGAAGUCAGAUAUGCUGCGCCCCUUUCUACUGUUCAUCUUCCCCAACUCUCAACUCGCCCUCAACUCACCAUUAAUUCACCCGAGUUCACUCAAAAUGGUCCCCCCCUCCACGUCAUUUGAUUCCCAACGGUUUUGUCAGUAGGGAGUACGAAUUUUCUCUCCCAAAUAGCACGAUUUCGGAUUCAAAAGGACAAUUGUUGGACGAAUGAGAGCGUGGAUAGAUGAAAAUCGAUCCAUGCCUUCCAUUUGUCCUAAAAAUUGUUCAAAAAUCAGAAGAUUUGAGAAUUUUCGAGGGUUAUAUAUAGGAGUUUGGAUUUGUUUGGCUGAUCUGUUAAGCUGCUGAUACUGUCGCUGAAUUUAUUCUCCUAUUUCAGAGUUUCGUUCGAUAUUUUCAGUUGUUUUUUGCUAAUAGGUAUGUUUCAACACCGUUGUAUUCAUCUUCUAUUUAAAUAAAGUCGUUGAUUUCUGGUUUGGUUUGCUGAAUGCUUGUGAUAGUAUGUCAACAUGAACUUAAAUAGACCUAUUUUAAACGAUUUAUGGAGUUAAGUACUAGAGUUUUGUUAGGUCAAGAUUUGAGGGCAAGCAUGAAGCCAACCACUGAGGAAAAGAAUUUUGGUCCCUGUUUAUUUUUAGAAGUCAAGUUCCUGUAUUUUUGAGUUUCUUUUACUGCAAAAAUAUUCCUUGUUCUACUGUUGACAUGUGAGAACAAUUGAAGUGAGUUUUGGUUGAGUCUGCUACAUCACUUGGUAGCAAAAUUGCAUUAGUUUGGUACAGCUAACAAUCCAUAGUUUCCUUAUUGUGCGCUAUGCACACUUAUGUGUAUUAGUUGGUCAAAUGGCCUAAUUUCCCUGGUCUGGUGAUUUCGCUUAAAUAUUUGGAUAAAUCUCAUGAAUUUGCUCGAACAUAGUUGUUUUAUUGAGUGCCUGUAUUCGCUCUGUUCUUUUUCUGCAAAACUAGUAGUGUUCAAUUUCAAGUUUGGCCUUAAUAAAAAUGGCAUCAGAUUGUUAGCAAAAAUAGAUUCACUUUGAGGAUUUCUACAAAAAUGGUAAUUUAACUUAGAUUUAUCAAUUGAAAAGGAUGCUAUUAGGAGCAUUGAACGAAAUUUGUCCUUUGGUUAAAGUUUUAGAACAGAACCAAGGCAUUCAUAUGAUGAACAAUCCAUAAAGUCAUGCUAUUUGGCAUUGUCUCACUGACAGCAAUAUGUAUGCAUUUAUUUGAUCUUGUACUUGCACUUCUCUUUUCACAAGACACAAUUACCAUGGCACUUCAGCCUUGCAUCCAGAUGGAUUUUUGAAUUCCCAAAGUUUUAAGUUUAUCAAGGUAAGAACCCCGUAGAAUCACAUUUGACACUAGACCUUCAUAUUUUUAUGUUGCUAUUUCUAUUUUUCAAAUAGUAUUAUCUUUUUUUGGUAAGUGUAUCAAUCUGUUGCUCUGUAUAAUUUUUCCACUCUCUACUUUGAUAGAAGUUAGGUUCUCAAAAUUUGUACCCUGCUCCUUGGUUAUUGUCUCAGUCUUUUGUUCAUUGGAAUAGUUGAGACCUAAAAUUCUUCAAUUUUGGAAUGGCCAAUAUGUAUCAGUUCAUAGAUUUCAUGCCAACUCAAAUAAAAUGCAAUUUCAAUUGUUGUAA